rnacentral:rRNA from 1 species
GGUAGUUAAGCUCUUCAGCGCCGAUGGUAGUCGGGGGCUUCCCCCUGUGAGAGUAGGACGCCGCCAAGC